UAAGCACCUAAUAGGGUGACAGUUGUAAUUCUGUUAGAAGAGAAUCACAUUUCUCUCUACGUCAGUCACACUAUGUAAGCUGCAGAUUGUAAGAAUUUAAUAGAACAGUGCCUUCCUCAUUUUCUCUUCAUGCUCUCUAGCUAAAAUCUCCAGAAAAUACUUCUCUUCCUAAUCUGAAAAUACAUAUACUAACGGCAAAUUCUAACAGGCAUGUCUAUAUUCUACUUUCACUACAAGAAAAUGGGCCUUAGUUGACACUUCAUUCUUUUAUAUAUCUCAAGUUGUUUUUCUGAUUGGAUAUUGUGGGUGCUGUUAUGGAUUCUUAUUUUGCCAUUAAUUUCAGUUAUUUCUAUGAACCAUAUGAUUUUCAUUUUUGAGACCUUGAGUAGGACAGUUUCUGGUUUGGUUUGCCUUUGUAUCUCUCACACUAGAUGCUGAUAAAGCCUCCUUCCAAGGAAAAUUCCAUUUAGAUUUAGUUAGGAUUUUAUUACUUUUUAUUUUUAUUCUGAUAACUCGGUACUCUAGUUUUUUCACUGGUUUUUGAUAACAAGGAUGAUGAAGUGCGAGUCAGCAGAACAAGUGUGACCUUAUUGUCAAUCUUAAAACUUCAGCAAACCAAAAAGUUAGGAGUAUCAGUCUUCGUAGAGAAGGCUGGAUUAGCUCUUGGAGAGUUGCGAAAGGAAAAUAAUUCCUAAGAAGACUUUGGCCAGUAACUAAUCCACCUUCAAGUCAAGAACAUCUUUUACAUCCUCAACUUUUACAGAAGCCUCUCCGCCCAUUCCUUGCUCGAGGGUAUUUUGACGAUGUAGGAGUGUAAAAUGUGAUUCCAUUAAGGACGUCGUGUCCUUUUUGUAAUAUGUUGUAGAUUAUGAAUAUAUAGUGGGAAUGUGGAGUUUUUGUAUUGCCUUUGGAUUGCUCCCCUAUUGUAUUUGUAUUG